CCCUUCCCCACUGGUCUGUCUUCUCAUUGGUCCUGCCACAGGUGCACAGAGCUCCCCGGAGCGGGGCUGGGGGGCCCUGAGAGCUCCGGAGGGCAGCCUUGGGGCAUCAGCCUCCUCACUCAGUGCGCAGCGAGCAGAGCCCUGCCUUCAGCCCCCUGCCUGUGAGCCCUGGGGCCUCAUGCUGAGUUCAGAGGUCAUUCCAUCUUCAGGAAUCCUGUCCAUUGCUUCGUGAAACACUGCAAGAGUUGCGUCGCAGAGUCUGUGAGCCCUCUGGCUCCUACAGUCCCCCAGGCCGGAACCAGCCCUUUGACUCCUCCACUUCAAGGGAUUGGUAUGACUGGAUACUUGAGCUAUUUAAAGAGCUCCUGCGGCGACUGCAGCAGAAGUUUCAGAAAGCCCUGGAGUGGCUUCAUCAGAUAGCGGCUGCCUGCCUACAGGGCUUGCGCAUAGCGGCUGAGGCCGUCUGGAGAGUGUUGAAUGAUUUUUGCUCCUCUCUGGAGCAGCUCUUCAGGAGCCUCAUCCAGGUCUAGAAGCCCCAAGGGGUCCCCAGGGAGCUUGGCCUCAUCUAGACGCCUCAAUUUCCCCUUCUCACAGGGCAUCUUCUGAUGCACCCUUUACCCUCCUGCUCACCCUUGACCCAUCCUCAUAGCCUGCCUCACCCCCUCCCCUUCAGGGAGGGCACCACCCAGCCCAUCUAACUCUCCCUGCCUGAAUUUUCCUGCACCAGGUCUGGCCUGCCUGUCACUGUAGUGCUGAUGUGCUAAUAAAAGUCAGUUAACCCAAAUGGAGUGUCUGUGU
rnacentral:lncRNA from 1 species